GAUGAACGCUGGCGGCGUGCCUAAUACAUGCAAGUCGAGCGAACGGACGAGAAGCUUGCUUCUCUGAUGUUAGCGGCGGACGGGUGAGUAAAACGUGGAUAACCUACCUAUAAGACUGGGAUAACUUCGGGAAACCGGCGCUAAUACCGGAUGAUAUUUUGAACCGCAUGGUUCAAAAGUGAAAGACGGUCUUGCUGUCACUUAUAGAUGGAUCCGCGCUGCAUUAGCUAGUUGGUAAGGUAACGGCUUACCAAGGCAACGAUGCAUAGCCGACCUGAGAGGGUGAUCGGCCACACUGGAACUGAGACACGGUCCAGACUCCUACGGGAGGCAGCAGUAGGGAAUCUUCCGCAAUGGGCGAAAGCCUGACGGAGCAACGCCGCUUGAUUGAUGAAGGUCUUCGGAUCGUAAAACUCUGUUAUUAGGGAAGAACAUAUGUGUAAGUAACUGUGCACAUCUUGACGGUACCUAAUCAGAAAGCCACGGCUAACUACGUG
rnacentral:rRNA from 1 species